GGGACCAUUCUAAAUCCCAUCUGCCAAUGUCCUGAAAAGAUACCUUCUCUCCCUGAAAUAAUUUAAACAAAAUCCCCAAAUACUUCAUAAUAUUUGUGCAUUUCAUUGUCUAGUCAUUGCCCAGACAAAUAUUGACAAGCAGUGGCAAACAUGUAAGCAUUACUUCUCCACAGGACUUUGCAAAGUCCCUGUUCUAGCCCAUUGCCUCCCAGAAAUGCCUUCUUCAUGGCCCCUGGGGACUGAAGUGCAGGCCACCUUUCCUUCUCUGCCUCCCAAAACGUUACAGGAACUGCCUGGGGGGCAGCUGAACCAAUUUUGCAAAACCUAAUGUGGGUCAGGGAUCAGCUAUUUGAGGCUGAAGUUCAAACCUUUCGGUAAACAUCAACCCUCCCAACCCUAAAAAGGAUAUAUAGAUACAUAUCCAGAGAAAUAUGUUCUGGGCCCCUUCCAGGAAACGUGUCAAAUGAAUUCAAAUUAUUCUCAUUAGCAUCACUAGCAGGAAUGGUAAUAAUGGCUUUCAUUGCCAGUGUCCUAUGAACCAGGAUGGCUGGGAAAAUACUUGCUCCAGAAAACUGCACGCCUGGCAUCCAGGGGUUUGAGGGUGGCGGAGUCUACAUCACUCAUUCUGAGAAAACAGAGGCCCAGAGAUAUUGUCUCAAGAUGGUAGCCAGGCCAGGGAAGAGGUCAGAGCUCCUGGCUCAGAGUCCAGGCCAUUUUCCACGACUGUACUUAGUGCCCAGCUCAGACCCUGCCAGGAGCCCAGGAGUGAGGACAAGACGCAGCUGCACUCCACCUGCUUUUGCCCCUCUGCAGGCCCCUCCCCUUUACCCGGUGUCAUAGAAAUUCAGCAUUCAGGGGCAGCAACAUGUUUCCCUGCGAGCACCCCACUGCUCCAUCAUGAUGAGAUGACUGUGAACUGGGACACCUGCAUGUCCUACCACGGUGCCUGGUCUCUCCACCAUCAUUAUUUUUCCACGCAAAGCAUUUCCUGACAAAUUGUGAGGAAUACAUUGAGAACGCAAGUUCAGUGUGCAUCGUCACUAACUGUGCAGGAAGAGCCCCUGGUCGGUGAUUCACAUUGCUUCCUCACCAACGACUCAGCUUUGGACAUUUCUGGAGAGUUUUGGAUUACUGUAGUCCAUAAAGAACUUCAACAGCUCUCUCUUCUUAAAGUCAGAGAAAAUUGCCCAUUUGGGGGCAACAAUGAAGCAUUCAUCACUCUCCGGAGCUAAGCCAUCUCGAGUAGCCCUCAAUCAAACUCUGCUAUUUUUACCUCAGAGCACAGAGGCCACAGCGGAUAAAGGACCCUUAAGGUAGCUCAUCUAAUUUGUGAUGGGGCCCAGGGUUGUAAUACAUCGUCUUCACGGCCGUCUUCAGGGCCAUGAGCCCUGAGCAGGGCUGGUUUCCCAUGCGUGUCUGCUUGGGAUGGGGAGUUUCAUCAGGAAAACCAAGCACAUAUUAGAACAGGAACAGCAGCUUGGCAGUCAGGGCCCGGACCAAGAAUGCAAAGGGGCUGGAGGAUCCAGGCUCAAUAGUAGCUCAAAAAGGAAGAUACACACAAAGCUGACACACAGAGUGAGCCACCGCCGGCACUGAGGUCACGGUACACAGUGAGCCACGCCUGGCCAGGACACGGACACAUGGGACACUACACCACCUGGUCCCGUGCUUCCCCUGGAGCCGCCUCCUUUCCCAUCCUCUGCACUCCCUGGUCCACUCAAGUCUCUGCUCUCUCACACUUCCUCCUGAAGCCAGGCUUUCUCAGAAUCGCUGGGAUCCGCCUCCGAGCUGAGGGCUUUGCUGCCCCUAAAGCGCUAACUACUCACAGAACGAUGUCAAGGGCAUCUCUCAUCGUCCACAUCCAUCUUUUUUGUCUCCCGCGGAGGGGCUGAGUCCACGCUUUGUGUGGCUUCAGUAUUCAGCCCCUGGCUUCCUCACCCGGCCACUGUGAGCUUUCCUUACACAAAACUGGACUGAACUGCUGGGUCAAUUCUCAAACCAUGCAGAAAAGCAGGGAGGUGCCGGCAUUGGCCUGAAUUUAUCAUACUCUUCAUUUCCCCGAAGUAUGAAUUAACAUUAGGCCCUGAGAUCCACAGCGUAUAAUCACUCUAAAUUCA
rnacentral:lncRNA from 1 species